rnacentral:rRNA from 1 species
GACGAACGCUGGCGGCGUGCUUAACACAUGCAAGUCGAACGGAAAGGCCCUGCUUUUGUGGGGUGCUCGAGUGGCGAACGGGUGAGUAACACGUGAGUAACCUGCCCUUGACUUUGGGAUAACUUCAGGAAACUGGGGUUAAUACCGGAUAGGAGAUCCUGCUGCAUGGUGGGGGUUGGAAAGUUUCGGCGGUUGGGGAUGGACUCGCGGCUUAUCAGCUUGUUGGUGGGGUAGUGGCUUACAAGGGCUUUGACGGGUAGCCGGCCUGAGAGGGUGACCGGCCACAUUGGGACUGAGAUACGGCCCAGACUCCUACGGGAGGCAGCAGUGGGGAAUAUUGCACAAUGGGCGGAAGCCGGAUGCAGCAACGCCGCGUGCGGGAUGACGGCCUUCGGGUUGUAACCCGCUUUCGCCUGUGACGAAGCGUGAGUGACGGUAAUGGGUAAAGAAGCACCGGCUAACUACGUG